GGCCGACCUGGAGGAGGAGCUGUCCCAGAUCGAUCCAUACACCAAGAUGCCCGCCCACACACCUAAAGGUCAUCAUCUUCGAGUUCCUCGAGGUCUGAAGAGGAGCUGGCUUGCUGGAAGGAGGAUGUGCCCCAGUUCGAUCUGAAUUCAGAAACAAUUCAUCACCAACCAGCCCUAGGCAGAGGCAAACCAUUCGCCCCCUUGUGUCGUCAGUUUCGGCUCCGUCCGUGCCGUUGUAGUGGAUGCCGGCCAAUGGCACCUUUGGAGAAGGCUCUGGAAAGCUUUGCACCAUAUGUCUGAUGAGUUCUGCAGCGGCGCAUGUGGCAUCUUUGCUAUUUACUUUGGCUUGAGAAGCAAAAUUGGCGUCAGUUUUGUUUCAUGAAUUGUGGUCUGGAUGUGCAAGUAAAGCAGGUCAUGGUAACACUUUUCAGUUGUUGAAGAGGACAUCCAGGUUAGCAGAGAAGCUGGCAGACCUGUAGCAGCAGAAGCCUGGUGCACCAUUUUCACCUGUUGGAAGCUGGAAGAAGACUCAUUUGUUGUAAUGGUCAAACAUCAGUGUCUGACCCAGAACUGAAACUUAUUCGAUUCAGUGCGUGUGUUUCUUAUGCUAGCUGAGUUUGAGUCUUAAAAUGCUUAGACAUGCUAGCAUGUGCAAAUUUGUUUGUGUGGCUGUCCCAGAAACAAGGUUGCUCAUGCCAAUUUGAUGAUUUUGCUGAUUAGUUGGAUUGACUAUGUCUUGUAUUUUCAUAGCGGAGAAAACUCUCAGAUUUUGGAAGAGAAACA